rnacentral:rRNA from 1 species
AGAGUUUGAUCCUGGCUCAGGAUAAACGCUGGCGGCGCACAUAAGACAUGCAAGUCGAACGAACUUAACCAUUAGUUUACUAUUGGAGCGGUUAGUGGCGGACUGGUGAGUAACACGUAAGCAACCUGCCUAUCAGAGGGGAACAACAGUUAGAAAUGACUGCUAAUACCGCAUAUGCCUUAGAAUCACAUGGUUCAAAAGGGAAGGAGCAAUCCGCUGAUAGAUGGGCUUGCGUCUGAUUAGCUAGUUGGUGGGGUAACGGCCUACAAGGCGACGAUCAGUAGCCGAACUGAGAGGUUGAACGGCCACAUUGGGACUGAGAUACGGCCCAGACUCCUACAGGAGGCA